rnacentral:rRNA from 1 species
ACACUCCUACGGGAGGCAGCAGUGGGGAAUAUUGCACAAUGGGCGCAAGCCUGAUGCAGCCAUGCCGCGUGUAUGAAGAAGGCCUUCGGGUUGUAAAGUACUUUCAGCGGGGAGGAAGGCGAUAAGGUUAAUAACCUUGUUGAUUGACGUUACCCGCAGAAGAAGCACCGGCUAACUCCGUGCCAGCAGCCGCGGUAAUACGGAGGGUGCAAGCGUUAAUCGGAAUUACUGGGCGUAAAGCGCACGCAGGCGGUCUGUCAAGUCGGAUGUGAAAUCCCCGGGCUCAACCUGGGAACUGCAUUCGAAACUGGCAGGCUAGAGUCUUGUAGAGGGGGGUAGAAUUCCAGGUGUAGCGGUGAAAUGCGUAGAGGUCUGGAGGAAUACCGGUGGCGAAGGCGGCCCCCUGGACAAAGACUGACGCUCAGGUGCGAAAGCGUGGGGAGCAAACAGGAUUAGAAACCCCGGUAGUCCCAUG